rnacentral:rRNA from 1 species
UGGCGGACGGGUGAGUAAUGUCUGGGAAGCUGCCCGAUGGAGGGGGAUAACUACUGGAAACGGUAGCUAAUACCGCAUAACGUCGCAAGACCAAAGAGGGGGACCUUCGGGCCUCUUGCCAUCGGAUGUGCCCAGAUGGGAUUAGCUAGUAGGUGGGGUAACGGCUCACCUAGGCGACGAUCCCUAGCUGGUCUGAGAGGAUGACCAGCCACACUGGAACUGAGACACGGUCCAG